rnacentral:misc_RNA from 1 species
UACGAGCUGCAAACCCGAAGUGAGGCGAACACAACCGACUGGCUGAUAGAUCGUUACCGGGAUUUGACGUCCCUAGACACAAAUAACAAUAUAUAUAGAUAUACGCUCUCUACCUGUCAUUGUUCGUGAAGUGCAAUAUCUGUUGCAGCAACGGUGGUAAACAUGUUUGUUUACAUACAAAAGAACAUAUUUAGUCGGAAAACGUGUCCUGAAUGACAGCUGUGGUCCCAAGAAUCGAUUCCGUAGAACUGAACUGUUAGUUCUUGAAACAAAAGGAACUACACGAUUAAAAGUCUAAGGUACUAAAGCUGCUUGACACAGUGUGCGCUGGCAGUUGUAAAAUCCAGAUAAAGUUUCACGGCAAUAGAUGAUAUUAUACCAGUCAGAAAAGUAAUGGCUUACAUUUCCGCUGUUGUUGCCAGUAAGAACUGCAAUUCAGUGUAGACGACUAUGAGGAAAUCACGGGGUGCAUCAAGAACACCUCCACUGUCAGUCGCAGUUCGUGCAGGCGAUGUCAAUGCUGUCCGGAAACUGCUCAGAGAAGGAGAAAGUCCAAACGAUUUCGAUAACCGCGGCUGGACGCCACUGCACGAGGCAGCUGCAGGAGGGCAUGUCACAUGUGCUUUAUUGUUGCUGCAUUUUGGGCAAGACAUUAAGGAUGUAAUAACUCAUGAAGGAGAAACACCACUUUUCCUGUCUGUUAAUCCAGACUCUAAACCUGAUGUAAUUAAAGUUCUUCUGAACCACUCAGCAGAUAUGAAUCUUGGCAACAAUGAACGGUUCACACCAUUGCAUAAAGCUUGUGAGCUUGAUUUGGUAGACCGUGCCCACCUGCUUUUAGAGUCUGGUGCAGAUAUCAAUGCUGCAAAUAAUAAUCAUAGCCGGCCUAUUCAUGAAGCCAUCAAAAGAAGAUCUGUGGAAAUGGUCAAUCUGCUGGUGAAAUUUGAGGCGGACCUGAGCUUAAGAGAUUCAGAUGGGCGCACACCCAUCAUGACUGCUGCUUACAUGGGCUUUCACGAGGUCCUUAAAAAAUUGGAUACACCAGAAUUAAACAUAAUUAAUGAGAGUCAGUUCGGAGAGUCGUUAGGAGACACAGCACUGAUGUUGGCUGUUCGAGGAGGCUGUUUAAAAACAGUUGAAGUCCUUCUUGAGAUGGGUGCUGAUGCCAACAUCGUGAGAGAAGACACUCAACAAACAGCACUGCACCUCGCUGCACGGCGUGGUGACCCAAGGAUUGUUGAACUCAUCAUAAAGGCGACAGAAAUGGAAAAAGUGGCACUGUGCAAAAAUCCUUUGAUAAAUGCAAUUGAAAGCAUGCAAGUGAAAACGAUUGAAUUGCUAUUGGAGUGGAUGCAUGCCCAUCCACAUUUAGUAAGGAAGGUCAUUGAAUGCGAAAGUGGGGUAUUCGCGCAAGAUUACAAAGUGACUGGUCCUGUCUCGUACCUACUCUACUACAAGGCUGACCACAAGGAAUUAUUGCCUGUGCUGCAUCUGCUCCUUAAAAAUGGAUGUCCGGCAAAUGUGUCCUCCGUCAAUGAAUUUCCGCCAUUAACAGCAACUACAGCUUCAUCAGCACCGAAAAGAAUAAAGAAAGAAUGUAUUGAGAUUCUUUUAGACUAUGGUGCUGAUGCUGACCACCCAUUCCCCUGGUAUGCAAAGAUGUACCCCCUAUCAUUCCUGCCAGCAGCCUGGUAUUAUGCAUUGCGUCUUCACCCAGGUGAGAACUGGUUGAUCAGGUUGCUGAUGUCUGUAAGCAAAAAAUGUGACCCUGAUACGCUACUCUCAGUAGUGUAUGUUUAUGCCUAUUAUAAGACAAUGCUGGUUGAUGAAGAACUAUGUGCAUGUAGGUCUACACUUCAGCAUACAUUGGAUUUAGCUCUUGAACUAGGUCCCUCAGACUAUUCCAUGAUGUUCAGCAUUUGGGCGAAAUUUAGGAAAUCAGAUGGAAACAAAAAGGAAGACAUAAAAUUAUUAACUUCCAGAACAAGGAGCUUCCUCUGACAUAAUGGGGGAAAUGUUUGGAGAAGAGAGGAAUGAUGAGGCUUAAGAAUACAGGGACUGUCUGGAGAAGGACUGACUGGAGAAGGAGUGCAAAACCAGCAAGAAGAAACUACUCAGGAUGAUUUGAUUGUUCCACAAAUGUUAACACCAACACCACUCGCAAAGCUAUGCCGUAUCUUAGUCCGCAAACA